rnacentral:misc_RNA from 1 species
UUUUGACAUCCUGAAACCUUACGUGAAAGUCUACAAAAGUUGUACCGAUCAUCUAGUGCAAAACAUCCAAACGUUUGCGGACAAGAAGGAGAGUGUCGAGGUGUUUGGAUUGGUCAGUGCCUGUACACUGGACAUCAUUCUACAGUGUGCUUUCUCUCAUCAGGCAGACUGCCAGAAUCUAGGUGCAGACAAUCAGUACAGUAAAACAGUGUACAGCCUGACCGAAGAAUGGAUGCGAAGGAAUGCAAGUCCCUGGCUGUAUCCAGACUUUAUCUAUUUUAAGUCAGAAAAAGGAAAACAAUACAAAUGUGAUUGUGAUUAUGUUCACAAAAUAGCAGAGGAUGUCAUAAGCCAAAGAAAAGCCCAUCUAGUUUGUUUGUUGUAUCUAUUAUGAUAUAAUAAAGAGCUAAUUUCAAAGUAAUUAAAUUUCAAGUUUAUCAUAGUUUCAGUAUGCGAAUGUUUUCGUGAUUUUUUUUUAAAGAAAAAUGAGGCUCAUGGGAAAUACCUGGACUUCCUAGACAUUAUUUUGACAGCAACAGAUGAGGACGGGCAAGGAAUGUCUAUGGAGGAUAUUCGCAGUGAGGUGGACACCUUUCUGUUUGCAGGUUAGUACGAGAUGGUUGUUCUUAUGAAUAACUAAUUUUCGUGAUGUAUUCAACAUUUUUUUUGCAAAAAUAGGUCAUGAUACUACAUCAAGUGCCAUCUCGUGGAUUUUGUACUCAUUGGCUGAACACCCGGAACAUCAGAUGAAAUGUCAGGAGGAAAUCGACAGAGUGGUCAGUGAAACAGAGUCUGGAGAGCUUGAAUGGUAUGGUCAAUAAGAAAAGGGUAGAAAAGUCAAGGACGAUAUUAACACAUAUUUAAUUGAACACUUUGAUAUUAUGAUAUUACAUGUAACACGGAAUUUUGUGUUCAAAAAACCAUUCUAAAAGGUUGUUUAGACUUUUUGAUAAAAACAAUUCGUAGUUUUCAUAAUUAUAAAUGAAUGAAACAUUAAUUCGCGUAAGUAAGUAACGAGCGUCAUGCAUCAUCAAUAUCAUGUCACUAUUCAAGCUUUAGACACAGAAUGAUUUACGACGAAAGAAAGAGGAGGCUAAAAAAAUGAAAUGGAUUUCCAUUUUGCCUUUAAAACUGACCCAAAUUGCUCAAACAUUUUAUUAUUUUAAAUAAAGGAACGACCUUGGGAGAUUGGAGUAUCUCACACAAUGUAUCAAAGAAGGAAUGCGUCUCCACUCACCUGUACCUUCCAUUUUGAGAGAGAACCAAGCUCCCCUCACUAUAGAUAACCACGUAAUACCAGCCGGAAGCUGUGUUGCGAUUUCUAUUUAUUGUCUCCAUCACAAUCCAGCUGUGUGGGGACAGAACCAUAUGGAUUUCAGACCCGAAAGAUUCACCAAGGAAAAUAUCCGAAAGAUGGACCCUUUUGCAUAUUGUCCAUUCUCUGCAGGACCAAGAAAUUGCAUCGGGCAGCAGUUUGCAAUGGCGGAGGAAAAAAUCGUGCUAUCAACCCUUUUACAAAGAUUCAACUUUUCUGUGGACAAAAGCCACCAAAUCGAAAGAAUGCAGGCGGCGGUCAUGAAAACAAAGACUGGUAUUAAGCUGUUCGCUUCUCCCAGAUAGAAGACUCAACGAGAUCAUAAAUGUUUCUCUGUCAAGGAAUAUUUUUUCUGCUGUCAGCUAGUUUGAGGACCUUAUAUUAAGUGGGUUCGGAACAUUUUCAUUUUGUGACAUACUUCCUAUCGAAAUAAACAAUAAAAUCAAG